rnacentral:rRNA from 1 species
GAUGAACGCUGGCGGCGUGCUUAACACAUGCAAGUCGAACGGUGAAGCAGAGCUUGCUCUGUGGAUCAGUGGCGAACGGGUGAGUAACACGUGAGCAACCUGCCCUGGACUCUGGGAUAAGCGCUGGAAACGGCGUCUAAUACUGGAUACGAGACGUGGCCGCAUGGUCAACGUUUGGAAAGAUUUUUUGGUUCAGGAUGGGCUCGCGGCCUAUCAGCUUGUUGGUGAGGUAAUGGCUCACCAAGGCGUCGACGGGUAGCCGGCCUGAGAGGGUGACCGGCCACACUGUGACUGAGACACGGCCCAGACUCCUACGGGAGGCAGCAGUGGUGAAUAUUGCACAAUGGGCGAAAGCCUGAUGCAGCAACGCCGCGUGAGGGAUGACGGCCUUCGGGUUGUAAACCUCUUUUAUCAAGGAAGAAGCGAAAGUGACGGUACUUGCAGAAAAAGCGCCGGCUAACUACGUGCCAGCAGCCGCUGUAA